GACGAACGCUGGCGGCGUGCUUAACACAUGCAAGUCGAACGGAAAGGCCCUGCUUUUGUGGGGUGCUCGAGUGGCGAACGGGUGAGUAACACGUGAGUAACCUGCCCUUGACUUUGGGAUAACUUCAGGAAACUGGGGCUAAUACCGGAUAGGAGCUCCUGCUGCAUGGUGGGGGUUGGAAAGUUUCGGCGGUUGGGGAUGGACUCGCGGCUUAUCAGCUUGUUGGUGGGGUAGUGGCUUACCAAGGCUUUGACGGGUAGCCGGCCUGAGAGGGUGACCGGCCACAGUGGGACUGAGAUACGGCCCGGACUCCUACGGGAGGCAACAGUGGGGAAUAUUGCACAAUGGGCGGAAGCCUGAUGCAGCAACGCCGCGUGCGGGAUGACGGCCUUCGGGUUGUAAACCGCUUUCGCCUGUGACGAAGCGUGAGUGACGGUAAUGGGUAAAGAAGCACCGGCUAACUACGU
rnacentral:rRNA from 1 species